rnacentral:rRNA from 1 species
UACGUAGGGUGCGAGCGUUGUCCGGAAUUAUUGGGCGUAAAGGGCUCGUAGGCGGUUUGUCGCGUCGGGAGUGAAAUCCACUGGCUUAACUGGUGGCUUGCUUUCGAUACGGGCAGACUGGAGGUAUGCAGGGGGAGAACGGAAUUCCUGGUGUAGCGGUGAAAUGCGCAGAUAUCAGGAGGAACACCGGUGGCGAAGGCGGUUCUCUGGGCAUGUCCUGACGCUGAGGGGCGAAAGUGUGGGGAGCGAACAGG